UAGGCUGCAACUCGCCUACAUGAAGUUGGAAUCGCUAGUAAUCGCGAAUCAGAAUGUCGCGGUGAAUACGUUCCCGGGUCUUGUACACACCGCCCGUCACACCACGAGAGUUUACAACACCCGAAGUCAGUGGCCUAACCGCAAGGAGGGAGCUACCUAAGGGUGGGGUAGAUGAUUGGGGUGAAGUCGUAACAAGGUAAC
rnacentral:rRNA from 1 species